GAUGAACGCUGGCGGUAUGCCUAACACAUGCAAGUCGUACGAGAGUUUUUAACUCUAGUGGCGGACGGGUGAGUAACACGUGAGAAUUUACCUUUAGGAGGGGGAUAACAAUUGGAAACGAAUGCUAAUACCCCAUAUGCUUUUGAGUGAAAUGGAUUUAUAUUUAUCCGCCUAGAGAGAAGCUCGCGGCUGAUUAGCUUGUUGGUAAGGUAAGAGCUUACCAAGGCGACGAUCAGUAUCUGGUUUGAGAGGACGAUCAGACACACUGGAACUGAGACACGGUCCAGACUCCUACGGGAGGCAGCAGUGGGGAAUUUUCCGCAAUGGGCGAAAGCCUGACGGAGCAAUACCGCGUGAGGGAAGACUGCCUAUGGGUUGUAAACCUCUUUUUUCAGGGAGGAAUAAAA
rnacentral:rRNA from 1 species